GACGAGCCUCACAAACGUUAUUCGGAAUUACUGGGCGUAAAGCGCGUGUAGGCGGCUCUUCAAGUCAGGCGUGAAAGCCCCGGGCUCAACUCGGGAAUUGCCUUUAAGACUGCAUCGCUAGAAUCAUGGAGAGGUGAGUGGAAUUCCGAGUGUAGAGGUGAAAUUCGUAGAUAUUCGGAAGAACACCAGUGGCGAAGGCGACUCACUGGACAUGUAUUGACGCUGAGGUGCGAAAGCGUGGGGAGCAAACAGG
rnacentral:rRNA from 1 species